GGAUAAGUGGGUUAUUAAUAAUUUUUAAUGUAUAUAGAUAAUUUAGAAAAAAAUUUUAAUUUUAUUAAUUUUUGUGAAAAAAUUUUAUUUGAUGAAAGAGAAGUAGUAUUGUAAAAGAAAUUCAUAAUUUUUGUUAAAGAAAUAUUUAUUUUAUGUACCUUGUGUAUCAGGGCUUGUCAAAUAAAGCUUAGUUUUGUAGGUUUCUCGAAUUUAGGGGAGUUAUAAGCAUAUAGUUUUUAUUGUAAAAUAAAUAUUAUAAAUAUGUUUAUAGAGGUGAAAUGCCAUUCGACUCUAAAUAUAUCUAGUUUUUUAAGAAAAAAAUUUAAUUUUAUUUCUGUAUAUUAUAGAUCUAAGUAUUUAGCUUUAUGUUGGCAGAAUUAAAUGUUUCAGGGGAUGAGCUUUGGAACAGAUUUAUAAAAUUUUAAAAAGUGUUUAUGUAAAUUAGGAUUGUAAGUUUUUAUUUUUGGUAGUGUGUUAUUACUAGACAUAUUAGAUCAAUAAUUUUUAUAGAAUUUAUAUAUUUUAUUAAAAUAUAAAUAGAAAUUAUUUUUAUUAAGAAAUAAUGAUUAAAUUAGUAUAAAUAAAUGUAUUAAAGUUUAUUUUGUUGGAAGGUUUUUUAAAGGAACUCGGCAAAUUUAUUUUUCACCUGUUUAAUAAAAACAUGGCCUGUAGAGUAUAAUUUUAGGUCUGACCUGCCCAAUGAGUUAUUUAAUGGCCGCGGUAUACUGACCGUGCAAAGGUAGCAUAAUCACUAGUUUUUUUAUUGAAAGCUUGAAUGAAAGGUUUGAUGAAAGAGUAACUGUCUCUGGGAAAAUUUAUUAGAAUUUUAUUUUUAAGUUAAAAAGCUUAAAUAGACAUAGAAGACGAGAAGACCCUGUAGAGUUUUAUAUUUAUAUUAAAGCUUUAAUUUUAGGUUUUAUAAGUUGAAUAUUUAAAGUAAAAUAUUUUGUUGGGGUGAUAGGAAAAUUGAACAAACUUUUCUUUUUUAAGAAACAUUUAUUUGUGAUUUAUUGAUCCUGAUUUUCAGAAAGAAGAAAAAACUACCUCAGGGAUAACAGCGUAAUUUUUUUUAGAGUUCUUAUCGAAGAAGAAGUUUGCGACCUCGAUGUUGGAUUAAAGUUUAUUAUUGGUGGAGAUGCUAAUAAAUUGAGUCUGUUCGACUUUUGUAACUUUACAUGAUCUGAGUUUAAACCGGUGUGAGCCAGGUUGGUUUCUAUCUCUAUGAAUAUAAUAUAUUUUAGUACGAAAGGACCAAAUAUUUAAUUAAAAAUUUUAUUUAGUGAAUGAAAUU
rnacentral:rRNA from 1 species